rnacentral:rRNA from 1 species
UCGAGAAUCUUCCGCAAUGGACGAAAGUCUGACGGAGCGACGCCGCGUGAUUGAUGAAGCCUUUCGGGGUGUAAAAAUCUUUUAUGAGGGAUGACAUAGCGACAGUACCUCAUGAAUAAGGGGCUGCUAAUCUCGUGCCAGCAGCAGCGGUAAUACGAGAGCCCCAAGCGUUAUCCGGAAUUACUGGGCGUAAAGAGUUUGUAGGCGGCGUAGUUAGUCUUCUGUUAAAUCCAUCGGCUCAACCGGUGAACCACAGAGGAAACGGCUAUGCUUGAGUGUGUGAGAGGUGAAUGGAACUCAUAGUGUAGGGGUGAAAUCCGUUGAUAUUAUGGGGAACACCAAAAGCGAAGGCAGUUCACUGGCACAUUACUGACGCUGAGAAACGAAAGCGUGGGUAGCG